rnacentral:rRNA from 1 species
GAUGAACGCUAGCGGGAGGCCUAACACAUGCAAGCCGAGCGGUAUUGUUUCUUCGGAAAUGAGAGAGCGGCGUACGGGUGCGGAACACGUGUGCAACCUGCCUUUAUCUGGGGGAUAGCCUUUCGAAAGGAAGAUUAAUACUCCAUAAUAUAUUGAACGGCAUCGUUUAAUAUUGAAAGCUCCGGCGGAUAGAGAUGGGCACGCGCAAGAUUAGCUAGUUGGUGAGGUAACGGCUCACCAAGGCGAUGAUCUUUAGGGGGCCUGAGAGGGUGAUCCCCCAAACUGGUACUGAGACACGGACCAGACUCCUACGUGAGGCAGCAGUGAGGAAUAUUGGUCAAUGGGUGCAAGCCUGAACCAGCCAUCCCGCGUGAAGGACGACUGCCCUAUGGGUUGUAAACUUCUUUUGCAUAGGGAUAAACCUACCCUCGUGAGGGUAGCUGAAGGUACUAUACGAAUAAGCACCGGCUAACUCCGUGCCAGCCGCCGCAGUAACAC